rnacentral:rRNA from 1 species
GGUGAAAAGCACCCCGGAAGGGGAGUGAAAUAGAACCUGAAACCGUGUGCUUACAAGUAGUCAGAGCCCGUUAAUGGGUGAUGGCGUGCCUUUUGUAGAAUGAACCGGCGAGUUACGAUUUGAUGCAAGGUUAAGCAGUAAAUGUGGAGCCGUAGCGAAAGCGAGUCUGAAUAGGGCGUUUAGUAUUUGGUCGUAGACCCGAAACCAGGUGAUCUACCCUUGGUCAGGUUGAAGUUCAGGUAACACUGAAUGGAGGACCGAACCGACUUACGUUGAAAAGUGAGCGGAUGAACUGAGGGUAGCGGAGAAAUUCCAAUCGAACCUGGAGAUAGCUGGUUCUCUCCGAAAUAGCUUUAGGGCUAGCCUCAAGUGAUGAUUAUUGGAGGUAGAGCACUGUUUGGACGAGGGGCCCCUCUCGGGUUACCGAAUUCAGACAAACUCCGAAUGCCAAUUAAUUUAACUUGGGAGUCAGAACAUGGGUGAUAAGGUCCGUGUUCGAAAGGGAAACAGCCCAGACCACCAGCUAAGGUCCCAAAAUAUAUGUUAAGUGGAAAAGGAUGUGGCGUUGCCCAGACAACUAGGAUGUUGGCUUAGAAGCAGCCAUCAUUUAAAGAGUGCGUAAUAGCUCACUAGUCGAGUGACACUGCGCCGAAAAUGUACCGGGGCUAAACAUAUUACCGAAGCUGUGGAUUGUCCUUUGGACAAUGGUAGGAGAGCGUUCUAAGGGCGUUGAAGCAUGAUCGUAAGGACAUGUGGAGCGCUUAGAAGUGAGAAUGCCGGUGUGAGUAGCGAAAGACGGGUGAGAAUCCCGUCCACCGAUUGAC